AUUGAACGCUGGCGGAAUGCUUUACACAUGCAAGUCGAACGAUGAACCUUAGCUUGCUAAGGGGAUUAGUGGCGAACGGGUGAGUAAUGUAUCGGAACGCAUCCAAUAAUGGGGGAUAACAAGUCGAAAGAUUAGCUAAUACCGCAUACGUCCUACGGGAGAAAGCUAGGGACCUUCGGGCCUGGCGUUAAUGGAGCGGCCGAUAUCUGAUUAGCUAGUUGGUGGGGUAAAGGCUCACCAAGGCGACGAUCAGUAGCUGGUCUGAGAGGACGACCAGCCACACUGGAACUGAGACACGGUCCAGACUCCUACGGGAGGCAGCAGUGGGGAAUUUUGGACAAUGGGCGAAAGCCUGAUCCAGCCAUUCCGCGUGAGUGAAGAAGGCCUUCGGGUUGUAAAGCUCUUUCGCAAGGGAAGAAAACUUAAGCUCUAACAUAGCUUGAGGUUGACGGUACCUUGAUAAGAAGCACCGGCUAACUACGUGCCAGCAGCCGCCGUAA
rnacentral:rRNA from 1 species